rnacentral:rRNA from 1 species
AUUGAAUUGAUUUAAUUUAUACAUAAUAAAAUUUAUUAAGUAAAUUUAGUAAUUAGAUUUAAAUAAAAUUUAACAAUAAUAUUAUUUGAUUAUAAGUAAAUUAUUAGGGGGUAAAGAUAAGUGCCAGCAAUCGCGGUUAGACUUUUCUCUAGAUUAUGUUUAUAAAAAUUAAGUAAUAAUGGUAUUAUAUAUAAGUAAAAUUAGAGUGAGUAUAUAUUUCUUAAGGAUAAAACUAUAAAAUAAACUUGGAUUAGAUACCCAAUUAUUAUAGAAGUUGUAUUGUAGUAAAAUAUAUGUGUAAAUAUAUAAUAGAGUUUUGUAGGAAGUAAAUUAUAAAUCUGAUGGUGAGUGUUAAUAUUAGGGGAGUUUAGUUAUUUGAAUCUGAUAAUACGCAACAAAUUUACCUUAUUUAAAGUUUGUAUAUCUUUGUUUUUAUCUAAUUAUAAAUUAUUUAUAAAUUAUUUUUUUUUUAUCAGAUCGAGAUGCAGCAAAUAAGGGAAUAAUAAACUACGAUUGAAUAUAUUUUUUAAUAUAGUAUUGUAAUAUUUAUAUAUGUAAAGAACUUAAAAGUAAUUUUUUUUUAGUAUAAGGGGGUGAAUAGUAAUUCAUUUAUAUACAAACUGCCCAAUGAUUACCUUUCGGGUUUAAGUUGUCACAAGGUAAGUUUACUAGAAAGUGGACUUAG